GCCUCAGUGGUCCAACGGUAGGAUAAUUGCCUUCCAAGCAAUUGGCCCGGGUUCGACUCCCGGCUGAUGCA